CUACGGGGGCUCCAGUCGAGAAUAGUCUACAAUGGGGGAAACCCUGAUAGUGCGACGCCGCGUGGACGAAGAAUCCUUUCGGGGUGUAAAGUCCUUUUCUGUGUGAGCAAUGGGCAUUAGGUUAAGAGCUUAUUGUCAGGGAUAUUAGCACAGGAAUAAGCCACGGCUAACUCCGUGCCAGCAGCCGCGGUAACACGGGGGUGGCAAGCGUUGUCCGGAAUUACUAGGCGUAAAGGGCAAGUAGGCGGAGAUAUAAGUCAGGUGUUAAAGGCGUCGGCUCAACCGGCGUACGGCAUUUGAUACUGUAUUUCUAGAGUAAGGUGGGGGAAGACGGAAUUCCUGGUGUAGCGGUGGAAUGCGCAGAUAUCAGGAGGAACACCGGUGGCGAAGGCGGUCUUCUACGCCAUUACUGACGCUGAAUUGCGAAGGUGUGGGUAUCAAACAGGAUUAGAUACCCGUGUAGUC
rnacentral:rRNA from 1 species